AGUGACGGUUUGGUGGAUGUUUCUAUCCAUUAUUAUUAAAAAUUGUUUAAACUAAAAAAUAUUAUAUGUUUAAAGCAUAAAACAAAAGCCACCCAUUUUAUUUUUCUUUCUUCACCUCCUAAACCACCAAAAGAGAAGAGGGAAGCCAUGUUUGAAGCUUUAAAGGUUCGGCCCUAUGCGCAUGUUGUCUUUUACUGGACGAGGAGAUCGGAUCACUUCGAAGCUCACACUAUCAAGCCUUUGAUUUGGCAGUCUUUUAAACAUUUUGGACUCGUUUAUGUGGCAUGUCUAUAGGUAUUGUUGUCAUCAUUAAUUGAAUUUGUUGGGAUUUAUAUCUUAAAAGGUUCAAUUAAACAUUUAUCAAAAAAGAUUGUAUACCUAUACAAUCAAUUUCUUCAAA